rnacentral:rRNA from 1 species
UAGAGUUUGAUCCUGGCUCAGAUUGAACGCUGGCGGCAUGCUUUACACAUGCAAGUCGAACGGUAACAGGCCUUCGGGUGCUGACGAGUGGCGAACGGGUGAGUAAUACAUCGGAACGUGCCCGAUCGUGGGGGAUAACGAAGCGAAAGCUUUGCUAAUACCGCAUACGAUCUACGGAUGAAAGCAGGGGACCGCAAGGCCUUGCGCGAACGGAGCGGCCU